UUAAGCGACUAAGCGUACACGGUGGAUGCCCUGGCAGUCAGAGGCGAUGAAGGACGUGCUAAUCUGCGAUAAGCGUCGGUAAGGUGAUAUGAACCGUUAUAACCGGCGAUUUCCGAAUGGGGAAACCCAGUGUGUUUCGACACACUAUCAUUAACUGAAUCCAUAGGUUAAUGAGGCGAACCGGGGGAACUGAAACAUCUAAGUACCCCGAGGAAAAGAAAUCAACCGAGAUUCCCCCAGUAGCGGCGAGCGAACGGGGAGCAGCCCAGAGCCUGAAUCAGUGUGUGUGUUAGUGGAAGCGUCUGGAAAGGCGCGCGAUACAGGGUGACAGCCCCGUACACAAAAAUGCACAUGCUGUGAGCUCGAUGAGUAGGGCGGGACACGUGGUAUCCUGUCUGAAUAUGGGGGGACCAUCCUCCAAGGCUAAAUACUCCUGACUGACCGAUAGUGAACCAGUACCGUGAGGGAAAGGCGAAAAGAACCCCGGCGAGGGGAGUGAAAAAGAACCUGAAACCGUGUACGUACAAGCAGUGGGAGCACGCUUAGGCGUGUGACUGCGUACCUUUUGUAUAAUGGGUCAGCGACUUAUAUUCUGUAGCAAGGUUAACCGAAUAGGGGAGCCGAAGGGAAACCGAGUCUUAACUGGGCGUUAAGUUGCAGGGUAUAGACCCGAAACCCGGUGAUCUAGCCAUGGGCAGGUUGAAGGUUGGGUAACACUAACUGGAGGACCGAACCGACUAAUGUUGAAAAAUUAGCGGAUGACUUGUGGCUGGGGGUGAAAGGCCAAUCAAACCGGGAGAUAGCUGGUUCUCCCCGAAAGCUAUUUAGGUAGCGCCUCGUGAAUUCAUCUCCGGGGGUAGAGCACUGUUUCGGCAAGGGGGUCAUCCCGACUUACCAACCCGAUGCAAACUGCGAAUACCGGAGAAUGUUAUCACGGGAGACACACGGCGGGUGCUAACGUCCGUCGUGAAGAGGGAAACAACCCAGACCGCCAGCUAAGGUCCCAAAGUCAUGGUUAAGUGGGAAACGAUGUGGGAAGGCCCAGACAGCCAGGAUGUUGGCUUAGAAGCAGCCAUCAUUUAAAGAAAGCGUAAUAGCUCACUGGUCGAGUCGGCCUGCGCGGAAGAUGUAACGGGGCUAAACCAUGCACCGAAGCUGCGGCAGCGACGCUGAUGCGUUGUUGGGUAGGGGAGCGUUCUGUAAGCCUGCGAAGGUGUGCUGUGAGGCAUGCUGGAGGUAUCAGAAGUGCGAAUGCUGACAUAAGUAACGAUAAAGCGGGUGAAAAGCCCGCUCGCCGGAAGACCAAGGGUUCCUGUCCAACGUUAAUCGGGGCAGGGUGAGUCGACCCCUAAGGCGAGGCCGAAAGGCGUAGUCGAUGGGAAACAGGUUAAUAUUCCUGUACUUGGUGUUACUGCGAAGGGGGGACGGAGAAGGCUAUGUUGGCCGGGCGACGGUUGUCCCGGUUUAAGCGUGUAGGCUGGUUUUCCAGGCAAAUCCGGAAAAUCAAGGCUGAGGCGUGAUGACGAGGCACUACGGUGCUGAAGCAACAAAUGCCCUGCUUCCAGGAAAAGCCUCUAAGCAUCAGGUAACAUCAAAUCGUACCCCAAACCGACACAGGUGGUCAGGUAGAGAAUACCAAGGCGCUUGAGAGAACUCGGGUGAAGGAACUAGGCAAAAUGGUGCCGUAACUUCGGGAGAAGGCACGCUGAUAUGUAGGUGAAGUCCCUCGCGGAUGGAGCUGAAAUCAGUCGAAGAUACCAGCUGGCUGCAACUGUUUAUUAAAAACACAGCACUGUGCAAACACGAAAGUGGACGUAUACGGUGUGACGCCUGCCCGGUGCCGGAAGGUUAAUUGAUGGGGUUAGCGCAAGCGAAGCUCUUGAUCGAAGCCCCGGUAAACGGCGGCCGUAACUAUAACGGUCCUAAGGUAGCGAAAUUCCUUGUCGGGUAAGUUCCGACCUGCACGAAUGGCGUAAUGAUGGCCAGGCUGUCUCCACCCGAGACUCAGUGAAAUUGAACUCGCUGUGAAGAUGCAGUGUACCCGCGGCAAGACGGAAAGACCCCGUGAACCUUUACUAUAGCUUGACACUGAACAUUGAGCCUUGAUGUGUAGGAUAGGUGGGAGGCUUUGAAGUGUGGACGCCAGUCUGCAUGGAGCCGACCUUGAAAUACCACCCUUUAAUGUUUGAUGUUCUAACGU
rnacentral:rRNA from 1 species